GGGGGGAGGGCCAACGAGGGGGGGCGGUGGGUGGGGAGGGGGCGGCCGCUGCCUGCCCACCGCUGGGCCAAGGAUGUGGAGGGGGGUGGCGCGCGGCGCCGCCACCGAGGGGCAGCCGCUGACACGUCGUCGGCCGGCCACCACAGGGCUGCAGUCGGCCGAGCAAGGGGGAAGGGCGUGGGGAGGGGCGGCCGAGCAAGGAGAUGGGCCGGCCGGCCAAGGGAAGUGG
rnacentral:lncRNA from 1 species